UACGGAGGGAGCUAGCGUUGUUCGGAAUUACCGGGCGUAAAGCGCGCGUAGGCGGCUUUGUAAGUUAGAGGUGAAAGCCCGGGGCUCAACCCCGGAACUGCCUUUAAGACUGCAUCGCUUGAAUCCGGGAGAGGUGAGUGGAAUUCCGAGUGUAGAGGUGAAAUUCGUAGAUAUUCGGAAGAACACCAGUGGCGAAGGCGGCUCACUGGACCGGUAUUGACGCUGAGGUGCGAAAGCGUGGGGAGCAAACAGG
rnacentral:rRNA from 1 species